GUAGCUAGGGUUUCUUAAGUGGCUAUAUGAAGGCUUCUUGAAUAAUGGAUGGUUGGGAUUUAUUAUGGAGAUCAAGAGGCUCUAGACUUGGGCAUUGGAUAUGAAAGGAAGAGGGCACUAAGAAGAGAUGGCAUGAAAGAUGAGAAGGGUUUAUGCGUAAAAAUAGAGAGGAAAUUGUGGGAAUUAGUUGGGGCAUUGGAUCUUCAUGAUGUGGCAUCAAAAAUAAAAAGGGAGAAGAGUUUGAGGCAUGUGGGAUUAGUUGAUGUGUGAGCUAGUUGGGAUAUGGCAUG
rnacentral:lncRNA from 1 species